GUUUUUAUUGAUGCUCUUUUGACCUCAUGAAGUUUGUUAUCCAAAUUCAAUCACCAUUGGAUGGACACGUUACAAAACCGGAUUCCUGCUUAAUCCGUUCUCCGUGUCCAAGGAAAUAAUAGGUUUUAUUGGUCACCCACUCGAAACAUUGAAUAGGAAACUUUAAUUGGGAAAUGUGUGUUCUUUUAGAGUAAUAUCUCACAGAACGUUCAAUUUUACAUUGGUUUAAAGGAACUAUCAAACGUAGGUCGUUCGCGAACCAUUCAAGACUAUAGCGGAGUCUAUAAGUUAUUGCUCAGUUUAGUACUUGAACUACAACUGCUGCCCUAGCCUUCAAAAGGUAAAACGUUGCGACGAUACCGACCUUUGCGUGCUACAGCAUCGGGACGUGGUAUCACGAGUCACUUGCGAAUACAAUAUUAGAGCGGUCCACGAACGAGUUCACGCAUCCUACGUUCUUAAAUGGUUUCCGGAGUCCCUAGUUAAUAGACCGAAGUGCUGCGAAGUAGCGCUUGGAAAAAUUAUUCAAGAUGAUUUCCAUUUUACCAACGCACCGGAUUAAAUAUUUUAACUUGCGCCUCGUUUGCGAGCUCAAUACUGGAUUCAGUUAAUUACAACAAUAUUAUGAAUAUUUUGUCUGCAUAUUUGGACUGAGCUGGCGUCAGAGUGUCAUCGCUGUACAUGCAACAAGAACACGCCGAAGCGUACCGCACAAAUAGGUACCGGUCAUCACUGCUAUGUUCAGCAGCGACAUGUCGUGGCGGACGAUGUUCGACUUUGAAACGGCUUUGUUGGACUCCGGCGCCUCCAGAGAAGAAGAAAGAGAAAAGGAAGAUCAUUCGACAUUAGUCCUCCUACUGCAUACUGAAAGAUGCAUCUUUAGCGAGUUUCCCAGCAUAAAAUUUUUAUAUAAAUUAAUAAUUGAUUUAUAAUCGAUGUAUGCUUGAAUGGGCUUAUUUUAGAAGGUACCACUCCGAUUUUAAAAGGGUUUUUUUGUAUUAGAUAUUCUUUUAUUGAGGAUGAAUUUAAGGUACAUAGAUAGCGCUACGGAAACUACUAAAUUACAUUUUUCACGUGGCGGAAACCGUGGGGCCCAGGUAGUACAGUAAAAUUUUAGAAUUCCUCCCCAGGUCUCAAUAGAAAAGUGGUAAGGUUGUCCGUUUAAUAGUGAAUUUUUCUAUUUAAUUUGAAAUUAAGUGCUGGUUAAUGAUGAAUACGUCACUGGAUAGAUGCUGGAGCGGUCAGCAUUUUUUUAAAUAUUUAUUUGUAUUGAAUCGAACGGUAAAAUAAAAAUAUUAAAAACUAUCAUAAGCAAA